UCAGCACAUUGCCGGUGGGGUCCGCGCCAGGCUGGUUGUUGUUCAGCCCACCGGCCUCGAUGGCGGUCGCAACGUCAUCGCUGGCC
rnacentral:tRNA from 1 species